rnacentral:rRNA from 4 species
AAAUUGAAGAGUUUGAUCAUGGCUCAGAUUGAACGCUGGCGGCAGGCCUAACACAUGCAAGUCGAACGGUAGCACAGAGAGCUUGCUCU